UCCUUUUAAAGCUUUCUUUCAUCAGUCCCCGGAGCUCUGAAUAAGAACUGCCUCCUCAUAAAGCCGAAGCUCCGCCCGAGCGAGCCCAAAAGCCUAGUUAAGCCCCGCCUCCCCCCACAAACAGCACUUCUUCAGAGCUCCCACAUUUUGCAAGUAGUAGUUGUGUUACGUUGCAUCACUUUUGCAUGUUUUUUUUUUUGUUUUGUCUUCUUUCUUUUCUCUCGAUGUCUUCAUCUGCAGUAGGGCGCCUCAUCUGUGCCGCUAAGCGUGCUCGGCAAACUCACAGAAAACACGCCGUCUCUCCUGCAGACCGCUCAGGGGUCGCGCCCUUUCACCCCGUCUCCGCCAGUUAAAAAAAGAGAGAAACAUUUAGCCGCACGACGUCUGAAGGCAGCCUUCCGAACGUGGGCUGCCGGAGUGACGUGCUUUGAGGACACGGAGGGGAAGCGGGACGUGCUCCACAUGCUGACGCCGCGAGCAGCAUCGUCUGAGCCUCAGAGUCCAGCAUCUUCACAUUUAAAGCAGAAACAUCAAAAUCCCUUUGAGUGUUUGAUCCAGGAGGAUCCAGUUUGGGCUUUUAUUGCUUCUCAUCAGCCAGUAAUGCGCUCACUUCCUGUGAGUCAACGUCUCUUGCUGUAAUUGGCAUGCAGCAGCAGCAGCAGCGGCUGCGCUUUAAACAUGCAGGAGGGACGAGGAGGAACCAUGACGUCAGCCUUCCUCUGUCUGCAUCCGCCUGUCCCGCAUACUCCUUUCCCUUCCCUCCUCUGUCAGAUUCAGACGCUUGUUUGCUCUUGUCAUGCACUUUUUUUUUAAUCAAAUUUGGAUUUUUUAAAAUUUGUUUUUGAUGGAGGUCAGGAGCUGCAGAAGUCAGACUUUUCUGGGUUUGCCUGGUAAACAUUUUUUGUCCAAUCUUUUAAACUAAUUGAAUCAAAAUUGGAUUAAAGAAGAAAGGCACGUUUCAGUCUGUCUGGCAGAGUGUGUGCUGGGAAACCAGACUGAACCCACAUGAGGUCAGCGCGUCCGGUCGGCUCCCGGCGGAACGGUUGAUGUGACGCGGCGAGCAGGAGCCGAUGACGUCGUCUGCGCUCAGGAGAAACUUUUGCUGUGAGCUGUGAGGUUGCAGCGCCCUCUGCUGGCAGAUCUCUGCGCUGCUUUGAAGGCCAGCUCCUCUUCAUCCAUGUAAAACCUUUUCCUCUUGACGUCAUCUGCCUCACAAACUCACUCAGCACUGUUUCGGCUGACCAACAAUCGCUUCACGCCCCCCCCCCACACUAUUUCUUUCCUUGGUGUGAAUGAGGAGUGAUCAGAAAUGACUCAGCAACCCUGAAAGUCCCCCCCCCCCGUGGUCUUUUCAUUAUGAUUAUUUUUUUCUAGGACGUACUUCCUGCCUGCAGGAGUUCAUCAGAAAGUCGCUCCUGGUGGCGCAAAGCAACCCCCCCCCCCUUCACGUUGCUGAGAGCUUUCUGUUUACAUGCUCUCUCUCUCAAGCUCAAGCUUCCGGGCAUGAAUGCCGCGUUCAAGGACACGCUUUACAUGGGUGCUUUUAGUGUUCGGUGUUCACACUGGACUGUAGCUGCCUCACACUAGUUUGGUGCGAAAUGUCCAAGCGGUGCAGAUCUGGUAAAUCCGGGUCCCGGCUUUUUAUUUCACAGCUCUAUUCCGAUAAAUCAAUGACUUGGUGUCAACUAAUCGCAGUUAUUCAUUUAUCUUCCAUGAUUUUUAAACAGUUCGGCGUUUUGAAAAGGACCCUAAACCAAACAUCGGUACCCAAGCCGAGUGGCUGUUCGGUCAAAGUUCAACAGGUUGAACUUUUAAUGCAUGUUCAAUCGCUGCGCGUUUUUACGUACAGCCCAAAAACGGAAAACGUCUGUAGCAACGCGUGAACUGCAGAGUUUUGAACGCGGUAGCCUGAAACGUUCAGCGUUUAUGAAAAACAGAAAAA